rnacentral:rRNA from 1 species
AUUGAACGCUGGCGGCAUGCCUUACACAUGCAAGUCGAACGGUAACGGGUCCUUCGGGAUGCCGACGAGUGGCGAACGGGUGAGUAAUAUAUCGGAACGUGCCCAGUAGUGGGGGAUAACUGCUCGAAAGAGCAGCUAAUACCGCAUACGACCUGAGGGUGAAAGGGGGGGAUCGCAAGACCUCUCGCUAUUGGAGCGGCCGAUAUCAGAUUAGCUAGGUGGUGGGGUAAAGGCCUACAAAGGCAACGAUCUGUAGUUGGUCUGAGAGGACGAGCGGACACACUGGGAAUGAGACACGGCACAGACUCCAACGGGAGGCAGCAGUGGGGCAUUUUGGACAAUGGGCGCAAGCCUGAUCCAGCAAUGCCGCGUGCAGGAAGAAGGCCUUCGGGUUGUAAACUGCUUUUGUCAAGGAAGAAAUCUUCUGGGCUAAUACCCCGGGAGGAUGACGGUACCUGAAGAAUAAGCACCGGCUAACUACGUGCCAGCAGCCGCAGUAAAAC